UACGUAGGGGGCUAGCCUUGUCCGGAAUCAUUGGGCGUAAAGCGCGCGUAGGCGGCCCAGUAAGUCCGUUGUAAAAGUCAAAGGCUCAACCUUUGAAAGCCGAUGGAUACUGCUGGGCUAGAGUCCGGAAGAGGCGAGUGGAAUUCCUGGUGUAGCGGUGAAAUGCGCAGAUAUCAGGAAGAACACCCGUGGCGAAGGCGGCUUUCUGGGACGGUACUGACGCUGAGACGCGAAAGCGUGGGGAGCGAACAGG
rnacentral:rRNA from 1 species